rnacentral:rRNA from 1 species
CCUACGGGUGGCAGCAGUGAGGAAUAUUGGUCAAUGGCCGGAAGGCUGAACCAGCCAUGCCGCGUGAAGGUCAGUGCCCUUUGGGCGUUAAACUUCUUUUGUGCGGGAGCAAUAAUGGUCACGUGUGGCCAGACGAGAGUACCGUACGAAUAAGCAUCGGCUAACUCCGUUCCAGCAGCCGCGGUAAUACGGGGGAUGCAAGCGUUAUCCGGAUUUAUUGGGUUUAAAGGGUGCGUAGGCUGUGAGGUAAGUCAGCGGUGAAAUGCCCCCGCUCAACGGGGUGAAGUGCCAUUGAUACUGCCUGGCUGGAAUGCGGAUGCCGUGGGAGGAAUGUGUGGUGUAGCGGUGAAAUGCAUAGAUAUCACACAGAACACCGAUUGCGAAGGCAUCUCACGAAUCCGCGAUUGACGCUGAUGCACGAAAGCGUGGGUAUCAAACAGGAUUAGAUACCCCAGUAGUC